CCUCUCAUGGCGUAGUGGUUAACGCGCCCCAACUAGAGAUCGGGGAGUCGUGAGUUCGAUUCUAACUGAGAAGA
rfam:Aedes aegypti strain Liverpool supercont1.402 genomic scaffold, whole genome shotgun sequence.